GGGAACGUAUUCACCGCGACAUGCUGAUCCGCGAUUACUAGCGAUUCCAACUUCAUGCAGUCGAGUUGCAGACUACAAUCCGGACUACGAUACACUUUCUGCGAUUAGCUCCCCCUCGCGGGUUGGCAGCGCUCUGUAUGUACCAUUGUAUGACGUGUGAAGCCCUACCCAUAAGGGCCAUGAGGACUUGACGUCAUCCCCACCUUCCUCCGGUUUGUCACCGGCAGUCUCAUUAGAGUGCCCUUUCGUAGCAACUAAUGACAAGGGUUGCGCUCGUUGCGGGACUUAACCCAACAUCUCACGACACGAGCUGACGACAGCCAUGCAGCACCUGUGUACUGGUUCUCUUUCGAGCACUCCCCAAUCUCUCAGGGAUUCCAGCCAUGUCAAGGGUAGGUAAGGUUUUUCGCGUUGCAUCGAAUUAAUCCACAUCAUCCACCGCUUGUGCGGGUCCCCGUCAAU
rnacentral:rRNA from 1 species